rnacentral:rRNA from 1 species
UACGUAGGUGGCAAGCGUUGUCCGGAUUUACUGGGCGUAAAGGGCUUGUAGGCGGUUCGUUAAGUCCGGUGUGAAAUCUCCCGGCUCAACCGGGAGCGGCCAUCGGAUACUGGCGAGCUAGAGGUGGGCAGAGGAAGGCGGAAUUCCCGGUGUAGCGGUGAAAUGCGCAGAUAUCAGGAGGAACACCGGUGGCGAAGGCGGUUCUCUGGGCAUUACCUGACGCUGAGGAGCGAAAGUGUGGGGAGCGAACAGG